UGUGUAGGCGGUUCUUUAAGUUUGGUGUGAAAUCUCCCGGCUCAACUGGGAGGGAGCGCCGAAUACUGAGGGACUAGAGUACGGGAGAGGAAAGUGGAAUUCCUGGUGUAGCGGUGAAAUGCGUAGAUAUCAGGAGGAACACCGGUGGUGUAGACGGCUUUCUGGACCGACACUGACGCUGAGACACGAAAGCGCGGGUAGCAAACAGGAUUAGAUACCCUGGUAGUCCACGCCCUAAACGAUGCAUAUUUGGUGUGGGCAGUUCAUUCUGUCCGUGCCGGAGCUAACGCGUUAAAUAUGCCGCCUGGGGAGUACAGUCGCAAGGCUGAA
rnacentral:rRNA from 1 species